ensembl:snoRNA
AAGUGAUAUGAUGGUACACCAUCUUUCGGGACUGACCUGAGAUGGAGAGAACUCUUUUAAUACUGAUCACUU